rnacentral:rRNA from 1 species
CCUACGGGAGGCUGCAGUGGGGAAUAUUGCACAAUGGGCGCAAGCCUGAUGCAGCCAUGCCGCGUGUGUGAAGAAGGCCUUAGGGUUGUAAAGCACUUUCAGCGAGGAGGAAGGCACCAUACUUAAUACGUGUGGUGAUUGACGUUACUCGCAGAAGAAGCACCGGCUAACUCCGUGCCAGCAGCCGCGGUAAUACGGAGGGUGCAAGCGUUAAUCGGAAUUACUGGGCGUAAAGCGCACGCAGGCGGUUUGGUACAGCAGAUGGGAAGUACUCGUGCUUAACGUGGGAACAGCAUGAGGACCUGGCCAGCGAGCGGCUUGUAGAGGGGGGUAGAAUUCGAGGUGUAGCGGUGAAAUGCGUAGGGAUCUGGAGGAAUACCGGUGGCGAAGGCGGGCCCCUGGACAAAGACGGACACUCGGGUGCGAAAGCGUGGGGAGCAAACAGGAUUAGAUACCCGGGUAGUA